GACGUAGGGUGCGAGCGUUGUCCGGAUUUAUUGGGCGUAAAGAGCUCGUAGGCGGCUUGUCGCGUCGACCGUGAAAACUUGGGGCUCAACCCCAAGCCUGCGGUCGAUACGGGCAGGCUAGAGUUCGGUAGGGGAGACUGGAAUUCCUGGUGUAGCGGUGAAAUGCGCAGAUAUCAGGAGGAACACCGGUGGCGAAGGCGGGUCUCUGGGGCCGAUACUGACGCUGAGGAGCGAAAAGCGUGGGGGAGCGAACAGG
rnacentral:rRNA from 1 species